UGAGUUUAUAGCCGCGCAAGUGUUCGGUUCUGACACACACACACACACACACACACACACACACACACACACACACACACCGUGGCAGUAGUCGGUUUACACGGAGGUGGAGUCUGUCUGUGUGUGCAUCCCUGAAACAAAACAAUCUAUCUACACACACACACACACACACACACACACACACACACACACACACACACACACACACACACACAUACACACACACACACACACACACACUUGCUUUAACAUAACAUACCUGCCGACCACCUGUGCGUGAGGGCGUGCGUGCGUUGGUGGGUGAGUUGAGUGCUGAGUCGACUUGGUGGUGGUGGUGGUGGUGUUGAGGUGGUGGUGAUGGUGUUUGGUGUUAGCAAAGAGCGGUGUUGGUGUUUCUCUCUCCGUAAAGCGGCGUUCUUCGUAGCUGGUACAACGCUGGCAUUCGGUAUUGCUGGGGUUCUGUAUGGAGGGUACGAACUGCUAUCGGGUUAAGGCAGUGACUCGCGUGGAUAAAGGAUGUAUAGUGACUCAGAGUGACUCUCCCCAUUCCCACACACCCCGCUACAGGUGCCACCACGCUUGGCCUCCUGACGAUGGGAGUGGAGGGGGGAGGCAUCCUGCUGGCACUCAUGCUGUUCUACGCCGUCAGGAAGGAUAAGCGGGUGCUGGCGAGGGUGUGGGAGGUGGGGGCGGCGGUGGUGGUGCUAAUGCUGGCGGCUGUGGGCAUUUACACGGCCAUCAAGAAAUCUAUCGGGGUCGGCCUGGGCAUGGUUGGGGCUGCCCUACUACAGAUAUACUUCCUCGCCAUCGUUCACGCCUAUGCUGCCUCGAUACAGGCGAUGAUAACGGUGGAUCAGUAGCGAUGGAAGAGCCAGCUUGACUCACCUUGACCCACUCUGACCCACCCUGACCCCCUCCUAACAAUGUACCCACGAAUGCUUGUAUGUCUCCCCUAUACUGUACUCAUGAAAGGAAUAGUGUGUGUGAAUGAGAGGGGGAGAGAAGGGGAGAGGUGGGAGGGGGAGAAAGAGGGAAAGGAAAAGGAGGAGGAGGAGAAGUGAAGAGGGUGUAUAAGAGAGAGAGAGAGAGAGAGAGAGAGAGAGAGAGAGAGAGAGAGAGAGAGAGAGAGAGAGAGAGAGAGAGAGAGAGAGAGAGAGAGAGAGAGAGAGAGAGAGAGAGAGAGAGAGAGAGAGAGAGAGAGAGAGAGAGAGAGUAAAGAUAUUAGGGAACUAGAGUAAUAAUGAGUGAAGAGGUGAAUAUGAGUUUCAGUGACACUAAUAAAUGUUUUAAGAGGUAA